CGCAGGUGACAAGCGUUGUCCGGAUUUAUUGGGCGUAAAGCGAGCGCAGGCGGUCCGGUAAGUCUGAUGUGAAAGCCCACGGCUCAACCGUGGAACGGCAUUGGAAACUGGCGGACUUGAAUGUAGCAGAGGAAAGUGGAAUUCCAUGUGUAGCGGUGGAAUGCGUAGAUAUAUGGAGGAACACCAGUGGCGAAAGCGACUUUCUGGGCUAUGAUUGACGCUGAGGCUCGAAAGCGUGGGAGCGAACAGGAUU
rnacentral:rRNA from 1 species